GGUUAAGCGACUAAGCGUACACGGUGGAUGCCCUGGCAGUCAGAGGCGAUGAAGGACGUGCUAAUCUGCGAUAAGCGUCGGUAAGGUGAUAUGAACCGUUAUAACCGGCGAUUUCCGAAUGGGGAAACCCAGUGUGAUUCGUCACACUAUCAUUAACUGAAUCCAUAGGUUAAUGAGGCGAACCGGGGGAACUGAAACAUCUAAGUACCCCGAGGAAAAGAAAUCAACCGAGAUUCCCCCAGUAGCGGCGAGCGAACGGGGAGGAGCCCAGAGCCUGAAUCAGUGUGUGUGUUAGUGGAAGCGUCUGGAAAGGCGCGCGAUACAGGGUGACAGCCCCGUACACAAAAAUGCACAUACUGUGAGCUCGAUGAGUAGGGCGGGACACGUGGUAUCCUGUCUGAAUAUGGGGGGACCAUCCUCCAAGGCUAAAUACUCCUGACUGACCGAUAGUGAACCAGUACCGUGAGGGAAAGGCGAAAAGAACCCCGGCGAGGGGAGUGAAAAAGAACCUGAAACCGUGUACGUACAAGCAGUAGGAGCCUCUUUUAUGGGGUGACUGCGUACCUUUUGUAUAAUGGGUCAGCGACUUAUAUUCUGUAGCAAGGUUAACCGAAUAGGGGAGCCGAAGGGAAACCGAGUCUUAACUGGGCGUUAAGUUGCAGGGUAUAGACCCGAAACCCGGUGAUCUAGCCAUGGGCAGGUUGAAGGUUGGGUAACACUAACUGGAGGACCGAACCGACUAAUGUUGAAAAAUUAGCGGAUGACUUGUGGCUGGGGGUGAAAGGCCAAUCAAACCGGGAGAUAGCUGGUUCUCCCCGAAAGCUAUUUAGGUAGCGCCUCGUGAAUUCAUCUCCGGGGGUAGAGCACUGUUUCGGCAAGGGGGUCAUCCCGACUUACCAACCCGAUGCAAACUGCGAAUACCGGAGAAUGUUAUCACGGGAGACACACGGCGGGUGCUAACGUCCGUCGUGAAGAGGGAAACAACCCAGACCGCCAGCUAAGGUCCCAAAGUCAUGGUUAAGUGGGAAACGAUGUGGGAAGGCCCAGACAGCCAGGAUGUUGGCUUAGAAGCAGCCAUCAUUUAAAGAAAGCGUAAUAGCUCACUGGUCGAGUCGGCCUGCGCGGAAGAUGUAACGGGGCUAAACCAUGCACCGAAGCUGCGGCAGCGACACUAUGUGUUGUUGGGUAGGGGAGCGUUCUGUAAGCCUGUGAAGGUGUACUGUGAGGUAUGCUGGAGGUAUCAGAAGUGCGAAUGCUGACAUAAGUAACGAUAAAGCGGGUGAAAAGCCCGCUCGCCGGAAGACCAAGGGUUCCUGUCCAACGUUAAUCGGGGCAGGGUGAGUCGACCCCUAAGGCGAGGCCGAAAGGCGUAGUCGAUGGGAAACAGGUUAAUAUUCCUGUACUUGGUGUUACUGCGAAGGGGGGACGGAGAAGGCUAUGUUGGCCGGGCGACGGUUGUCCCGGUUUAAGCGUGUAGGCUGGUUUUCCAGGCAAAUCCGGAAAAUCAAGGCUGAGGCGUGAUGACGAGGCACUACGGUGCUGAAGCAACAAAUGCCCUGCUUCCAGGAAAAGCCUCUAAGCAUCAGGUAACAUUAAAUCGUACCCCAAACCGACACAGGUGGUCAGGUAGAGAAUACCAAGGCGCUUGAGAGAACUCGGGUGAAGGAACUAGGCAAAAUGGUGCCGUAACUUCGGGAGAAGGCACGCUGAUAUGUAGGUGAAGCGACUUGCUCGUGGAGCUGAAAUCAGUCGAAGAUACCAGCUGGCUGCAACUGUUUAUUAAAAACACAGCACUGUGCAAACACGAAAGUGGACGUAUACGGUGUGACGCCUGCCCGGUGCCGGAAGGUUAAUUGAUGGGGUUAGCGGUAACGCGAAGCUCUUGAUCGAAGCCCCGGUAAACGGCGGCCGUAACUAUAACGGUCCUAAGGUAGCGAAAUUCCUUGUCGGGUAAGUUCCGACCUGCACGAAUGGCGUAAUGAUGGCCAGGCUGUCUCCACCCGAGACUCAGUGAAAUUGAACUCGCUGUGAAGAUGCAGUGUACCCGCGGCAAGACGGAAAGACCCCGUGAACCUUUACUAUAGCUUGACACUGAACAUUGAGCCUUGAUGUGUAGGAUAGGUGGGAGGCUUUGAAGUGUGGACGCCAGUCUGCAUGGAGCCGGCCUUGAAAUACCACCCUUUAAUGUUUGAUGUUCUAACGUUGGCCCCUGACCGGGGUUGCGGACAGUGUCUGGUGGGUAGUUUGACUGGGGCGGUCUCCUCCUAAAGAGUAACGGAGGAGCACGAAGGUUGGCUAAUCCUGGUCGGACAUCAGGAGGUUAGUGCAAUGGCAUAAGCCAGCUUGACUGCGAGCGUGACGGCGCGAGCAGGUGCGAAAGCAGGUCAUAGUGAUCCGGUGGUUCUGAAUGGAAGGGCCAUCGCUCAACGGAUAAAAGGUACUCCGGGGAUAACAGGCUGAUACCGCCCAAGAGUUCAUAUCGACGGCGGUGUUUGGCACCUCGAUGUCGGCUCAUCACAUCCUGGGGCUGAAGUAGGUCCCAAGGGUAUGGCUGUUCGCCAUUUAAAGUGGUACGCGAGCUGGGUUUAGAACGUCGUGAGACAGUUCGGUCCCUAUCUGCCGUGGGCGCUGGAGAACUGAGGGGGGCUGCUCCUAGUACGAGAGGACCGGAGUGGACGCAUCACUGGUGUUCGGGUUGUCAUGCCAAUGGCACUGCCCGGUAGCUAAAUGCGGAAGAGAUAAGUGCUGAAAGCAUCUAAGCACGAAACUUGCCCCGAGAUGAGUUCUCCCUGACUCCUUGAGAGUCCUGAAGGAACGUUGAAGACGACGACGUUGAUAGGCCGGGUGUGUAAGCGCAGCGAUGCGUUGAGCUAACCGGUACUAAUGAACCGUGAGGCUUAACCUU
rnacentral:rRNA from 1 species